rnacentral:rRNA from 1 species
AUUGAACGCUGGCGGCAGGCCUAACACAUGCAAGUCGAGCGGAUGAAGGGAGCUUGCUCCUGGAUUCAGCGGCGGACGGGUGAGUAAUGCCUAGGAAUCUGCCUGGUAGUGGGGGAUAACGUCCGGAAACGGGCGCUAAUACCGCAUACGUCCUGAGGGAGAAAGUGGGGGAUCUUCGGACCUCACGCUAUCAGAUGAGCCUAGGUCGGAUUAGCUAGGUGGUGGGGUAAAGGCCUACCAAGGCGACGAUCCGUAACUGGUCUGAGAGGAUGAUCAGUCACCCUGGAACUGAAACACGGUCCAGACUCCUACGGGAGGCAGCAGUGGGGAAUAUUGGACAAUGGGCGAAAGCCUGAUCCAGCCAUGCCGCGUGUGUGGAGAAGGUCUUCGGAUUGUAAAGCACUUUAAGUUGGGAGGAAGGGCAGUAAGUUAAUAACUAGCUAUUUUGACGUUACCAACAGAAUAAGCACCGGCUAACUUCGUG